UACGUAGGGAGCGAGCGUUGUCCGGAUUUAUUGGGCGUAAAGAGCUCGUAGGCGGCUUGGCAAGUCGGAUGUGAAAACUCCAGGCUCAACCUGGAGACGCCAUCCGAUACUGCUAUGGCUUGAGUCCGGUAGGGGACCACGGAAUUCCUGGUGUAGCGGUGAAAUGCGCAGAUAUCAGGAGGAACACCGGUGGCGAAGGCGGAUCUCUGGGCCAUUACUGACGCUGAGGAGCGAAAGCGUGGGGAGCGAACAGG
rnacentral:rRNA from 1 species